rnacentral:snRNA from 1 species
GUGCUCACUUUGGCAACAUAUAUACUAAAGCUGGAAUAAUACAGAGAAGAUUAGCAUGGUCUCUGCACAAGGUUGACACACAAAUUUGUGAAGCGUUCCAUGUUUAA